CUGUAACCGUGGGUACUGCUGCUCUCAGUAACAUCUGAACAAGCCUUUAAAUGGCUGGAUAGCCUAUAAUGUUGGGGUACAGAGUACCAACGUUCUGGAAGUUGCAGCUUUCAGCUAAGAAACAAGAUGAGGUGCUCUUCUCCACUAACCACCUGGGAUAACAUGGCACCAAGGCCAGUGGCAGAGUCAUCAUCAAUAAAGCCAUUAAAGGCUUUAUAGGAAGGAGUCUAAGGCUGAGCCAAGGCCUCCACUGAGGUUCCAGGAAGGAACCAGACCUCAGAUAGCUCCAAGGCAGCACAAUAGAGUCCAUAAUCAAGAAACCAACACAGAAAUGAAAUGGGAGCCAAAAUUAAAAGAAAUCAUAUGCUGUUAACAAACUAAUAUUUAUAAAUCAAUUUAAACAAAAUAAUUUUACAUGUUUACAUAAUAUGCAUGUGUACAUUAUAUCAAAACAUUGGACCCCAAUUCCCUUAAAAGAAUCACGAGGGUAGAAGAAAGCCAAACCAGAAGGAGGAGUCUCACAAUUUUUUGUACUCUACAAAUGAAUGAAGAAGCAAAUCCUCAGUUUUCCCUGCAGUUCCCAGGCUUCAG